AACUUGCCCCUGGAUUGGAGGGGUCCAGGGUGACGUCGUUGGCAAGGGGCUCUCAUCAUAGACUGAUCAUUCUCAACUUUCUCCGUUCCAGCAUUUUUGCAGUGUGGGGAAUGUGCUGGUGUAAUCUUACAAAGAGAGAGACACAAAACCAAGAACAUGCAAAGCACUUCCCCAAACCAAGCCGAUCUAGAGCAAGCACCACAAUUUUUCUCAAUGCUGAUGUUUCUGAAUCUUCAGAAGUGUCCUACUUCUCCGUGCUGCAAGUCUGAGGGCUGCCUCCUUGGUAAACACCACAAUCCAUCCCUUUCAUCGAUUUCUGCUCCCUUCUGAGCUUGGCAGUAAGCUGGAGGUAAGCACAGCUGCAGGGCUGCCGUGUCCGCUUCCAGAUGCUGUGGCCCCGCACAGCUGCUCUUUCAUCCUGGGACUUCCAGCUGAACCAGGAGAUUUUACAGAUUGUCUCUAAGGAUGCCUUCAGGAGAAUAUUUCUGAAGUGAUGGAUACACUCUGCUUUGGUACAAUCCAGUGUGGCAUCUGCUGGCAGCACGUGGUGGCUGAGCAAGGGGAUGGCAGCUGCUCUGACUGGGGAAGUGAGGUCUUUGUUUGUUUCUUUGUUUGUUUUUUAAAAGAUUAUUUAUUUUAAAUAUGUGAGUACAAUGUCGCUGUCUUCAGACACACCAGAAGAGAACAUCUGAUCCCAUUACAGAUGGUUGUGAGGCACCAUGUGGUUGCUGGGAAUUGAACUCAGGACCUCUGGAAGAAUGGUCAGUGCUCUUAACUACUGAACCAUCUCUCUAGGCCCAGAAGUGAGUUUUAAAUGCCAAGAAAUCUAAACUUAGCCAUGUGACUAACAAGACCUCAUUGAGUGACGCAGCUCCCUAGUAAAUGUGCAGUUAAAUGUGACAGGACGAAAGAUUUGCAAAUAACAGUGCAGUGAGUUAUUUCUCAGUUUUCACAUAUUUGACAGCCAUCUUUUGUCUCCUUAUUGGCUAACACAAUGUAACAGAGCCACCAAUCACUGGCUCUGUAAUCCCACGGCUGGAAGACUUGCUUGUUGAAAUAGUCUUGCCACCACGCUACAGCAUGGUGACUUGUCAAUGCAUGUCUUAGAAAAACCAACUGUCUGAGGCAGAAGAAUUGGAUGCAAUUUCUGACUCAAUUAUUUUUUCAAAUGAUCUGGGACAAUUAAAUCCUCUUUGAAUUUUA